CACAGACUACAUAUAGAUACACUGACACACACAUAGACACACACAGAUAUAAACACUGACAUACAUGCAGAUACAAAGGUACACCCAUUGACUACAUAUAGAUUAUACACACACACACUGACACACAUACAGACACACAGAUACACAACCUAAAACACAUGCAGAUAUACAGAUACAAACACUGACACAUACAGAUACAUACAGAUACAGAGACACAUUCUGACAGACGUACUGACACAGACAGCCAUACUGAAACACACAUACACAAAGACAUACUGAACCACACAGACACUGACAUACAGAUAC